AUGAGGGCCCCUGUGCAGUUCCUCAGCUUCCUGCUUCUCUGGCUCCCAGGUGCCAGUUGUGAUAUCCAGAUGAGCCAGCCUCCAUCCUUGUCUGCAUCUCUGGAAGAGAAAGUCACCAUCACCUGCAAGGCCAGUCAGAGUGUUAGCAGUUACUUAUCCUGGUAUCAGCAGAAACCAGGGAAAACUCCCAGGCUCCUCAUCUAUUGGGCAGACAGUUUAGGACCAGACGUCCCUCCCCGGUUCAGUGGCAGUGGAUCUGGGACAGAUUUUACUCUCACCAUCAGCAACCUCAAGCCUGAGGAUGCUGCCACUUACUACUGUCUACAGUAUGAUAAGCUCCCUCCCACAGUGAUACACACCAGAACAUAA